rnacentral:rRNA from 1 species
UCCAGCAGCCAUAUCACUCUGCAACUCACAACUGACAACCCACUGAAAGCAGGUGUGAGCCUGGUCAGUACCUGUAUGGGAGACCUCCUGGGAAAAACUAAGGUUGCUGCUGGAA